ensembl:snRNA U6 U6 spliceosomal RNA
AAGCUGGAGUCAGCAGCACAUAUACUAAAACUGGGACAAUAUACAGAAGAUUAGCAUGGCCUCUGAGCAAGGCUGACAGGCACACAUGUGAGGUGCUCCACAUUUGU